rnacentral:rRNA from 1 species
CCAGGGGAGCGAACCGGAUUAGAUACCCGGGUAGUCCUGGCUGUAAACGAUGCGGGCUAGGUGUCACCAGAGCCACGAGCUCCGGUGGUGCCGGAGGGAAGCCGUUAAGCCCGCCGCCUGGGANGUACGGCCGCAAGGCUGGAACUUAAAGGAAUUGGCGGGGGAGCACUACAACGGGUGGAGCCUGCGGUUCAAUUGGAUUCAACGCCGGGAAGCUUACCGGGGGAGACAGCUGGAUGAAGGUCGGGCUGAAGACCCUACCAGACUAGCUGAGAGGUGGUGCAUGGCCGCCGUCAGUUCGUACUGUGAAGCAUCCUGUUAAGUCAGGCAACGAGCGAGACCCGCGCCCUCAGUUGCCAGCGGAUCCCUCCGGGGAUGCCGGGCACACUGAGGGGACUGCCGGCGCUAAGCCGGAGGAAGGUGCGGGCAACGGCAGGUCCGUAUGCCCCGAAUCCCCCGGGCUACACGCGGGCUACAAUGGCCGGGACAAUGGGUACCGACCCCGAAAGGGGUAGGUAAUCCCCUAAACCCGGUCUAACCUGGGAUCGAGGGCUGCAACUCGCCCUCGUGAACCU